ACUACUUCUCAGCCUUUUGGCUAAGAUCAAGUGUAGUAUCUGUUCAUAUCAGUUUAAAUUCACCAUCCUGUAGAAUUAUCCAUCAUGGACUCAAAGCCUGUUAAUGCCAUAAACUUCUCCUGUAUUUUCCUUCUCCAGGUGAAAUAAGCUAAUUACUGUAACUUUUUCCCAUAGGCCAUUUUUU